AUACGAGGGGUGCAAGCGUUGUUCGGAAUUACUGGGCGUAAAGGGAGCGUAGGCGGAGAUUCAAGCGGAUUGUACAAUCCCGGGGCCCAACCCCGGCUCUGCAGUCCGAACUGGAUCUCUUGGAUAGUUCAGGGGCAGGCGGAAUUCCUGGUGUAGCGGGGGAAUGCGUAGAGAUCAGGAAGAACACCGAUGGCGAAGGCAGCCUGCUGGGGACUUAUCGACGCUGAGGCUCGAAAGUGCGGGUAGCAAACAGGAUUAGAUACCCUGGUAGUCCGCACCGUAAACGAUGCAUACUGGGUGUCCGGGGGUUCCCCCGGGUACCGUAGCCAACGCGUUAAGUAUGCCGCCUGGGGAGUACGUACGCAAGUAUGAAACUCAAAUGAAUUGGCGGGG
rnacentral:rRNA from 1 species